GGCGCCGUCGUCUCUCUCUCGUCGUCACCCCGCGAGCGACGUGCACGGCACGCCGUACUACCACCGCUUCGCGCUCUCGCUCUCGACCGCAGAGCGAUGCUGGUACCCGUCGUGGAAGCGAGACUGUUGAAGGAGAAGGACGGGUGAGACGGGCGGGAGGAGGGAUACACACCGAGAUGUGAAACAUUAGUGUACCGUUUGUUAACACCGCGGUCUACACACAAUCGCGCGCAAACUUGCCCUCCCCUCGCUCGCUUGUCGGCCCUCGUCCCCUCGUCGCCCAACGCUUUCUUUAAGAGGGCGUUGCUGCCGGUACGGUACACGGACGAGCACCUUCCUUUCUUCGUGAGUGCAUCGCAGAGUGUCGGCACGAUCAGACAGGGCGACAAUCCGAAGUGCUCGGCGACCAGUCACGGGCAAGGUCGUGGAAGCUGUUGGGCAGGUGGCAGCACGACUCGACAAAGGACGGUUAUAGACCCUCCUCGUUGGCACCGUGGCGGAGCAAGAAAAGUGGGGGUUAGUGUUACCAGGAGAUCCAGUGGAAAGGGAAGGUGCCCCUUCCGCCGUGGCCAUUCGGCAGCCACCCCUCCGUCCCUCGUUGAUGGCGAGGAGGGCCGGAGGGGACACAUCCUCCAACGGUGUGUGCAGCAACCACGGUUGUCACCGUGUUGAAUUACCCGCACUUCGACACGGAGUCCUACGAGCGAGACGAUUCUAAUGCCCGUGCCCGGUGCAACGAGGAAAGAAUCACAGACGGGUUCGCUCCGUUCUCGGCAGAGUGCGCGAGCGUUAUAUUUUGCGCAAAUUCUUUCGUUUAAAAUAAAAAAGAAAAAGAACAUGCUUUUUCGCAGCAGUUGUAGGAAUCAUGCCUUAAGAUGUUUGUCGUCCCUCCUGAAGCACGCUUGAUUGCACACAAGCUCGUUAUCUGGAUUUUAUCAUGCCGUUAACAAGUCGCGAAAUAGUUGCAUCGCGAAAUUAGUAAACACGUAGUACAACGUCUAAUCGAUCAUCCGUGUUGGCUUAGCGGCGAACGGGUGCGAACAGAGUGUUAACGUUCUGCUACCGGGAAAAUUGCCUCGAUCGGCAUCCCAUGUUCGCUUUUGCAAGUUUAUUUAUAUAAAUAACCGCACGAUUCCCCGGAGCGCUCUCCUUUCCUCACCAAGACUCCUCUUGACUUGAGCAAAGAUUAAUGUUGCUUUUCAUGACGCGAGACUGUUUCGUUGUAAUGAAACGGUGGUUAACACAAGGUUUUCCCAGCCCGACAAUGACUCUCCGGAUAAACUUUUAUUAAGACCGCUCGUCUAGUGUAAUAGCACGCCGAGCAGACCCACCAUGCGCUCCCACCUCAUAAAUCAAGAGCGGUGUUGAUGGUGUCGAGACACGGGAGAAGCUGUGGAAGCACGGUGAGGAGUACUACUUACAGAGUAAAGUGGAUAGGAGAGGGCCAGUAUAAACUUAAGUGAUUAAUCUCGCGGAAUUGAUAACGCCCGGCAUCCCCUCGCUCGCUCUCUCUCCCUCACUCUCUCCUUUCUCUCUCUCUUUAUCUCUCUUUCCCGCGCUCUCGUCGCGCCCUCAUAAAUUACAUUAUAAGCAGGCGCGGUAUAAUUAAUACGCUACUCGCGCGUAAGCCUGUCUCCGUUGCGACGUAAGGGUGAAUCGCGAUACUUCCGAGUGCUCGUAAGAGAUAUGUAUACAAACUUGCACCACCAACAAUACCCGCGUUAAGAUUCGGUUCUUUGUGCCCUAAUCAGUCACUCUCACUUUGGUUGGACCCCUCGAGCCGUGUCUAAGAACCGACCCAACAUCACGUCACUAUACGCAGCAAUGCGCGAGCAACAAUAUGAUGUCAUACUACUCAUGAUGUGUUAUAUGUGUAACUCAUUGCAGGAAACUAUUGUAUGAUAAUAUUUUAUUUGCUCGUGCGCGCGAGAAAAAUAUAACGGCGGCAUUAUCG